UACGGAGGAUGCAAGCGUUAUCCGGAAUGAUUGGGCGUAAAGCGUCCGCAGGUGGCUGUGUAAGUCUGCUGUUAAAGAGUGAGGCUCAACCUCAUAAAAGCAGUGGAAACUACACAGCUAGAGUGCGUUCGGGGCAGAGGGAAUUCCUGGUGUAGCGGUGAAAUGCGUAGAGAUCAGGAAGAACACCGGUGGCGAAGGCGCUCUGCUAGGCCGCAACUGACACUGAGGGACGAAAGCUAGGGGAGCGGAUGGG
rnacentral:rRNA from 1 species